GGCGUGGCAAUUAGCAGGACGUGGGCAGAGAGGCGUGGCAAGGUGGCACGUCUGUGGCAAGGGCGAAAACUAGGACUGAUCGCAACAGCGCUAUCUGAGCACUUGUCAGAAGGUCACUUCGCUGGCUCUGUCUCGGACUUACAGAGUGGGAACCUGCCCUGGACCUGCACUCUAAGAAGCCUUGCCUGCGCAGCCCUGCUUCUGUGCAAGAACCAUCUCUGAGUUCUUUCUCCUGGGGAGAGAAACAUCUCUUGGUUUCCUUAAGGGACGACGGAGCAGGCCCCUCAAACGCGUUGGAAAGACCAUCAGAGGGACAUCGCUGAGCCUGGAGUAGAAGUCUUUUUUUUUUUCUAUUUGAGGCUUUUUGUUGUUGUUGUUGUUUCUUUUUCCCACAGACCAGAGAGGUUGUCGACCCUCCUUUCAUUCGGGUUCUUGACUGAAAUAAAAGCCAUAAAGAACGGUGGAGAAGAGAAAGUGUGGAGAGAAAAGGAAGAAAGAAGAUAUACGGGAGUUGGGGACAGGAAGAUAAAUCACACUUUUUAAAAAAGAUUUUUAUUUAUAAUUAUAUGCAUAUCUAUCGAAGAUGACAAGAAGGAAGGAGUAUUCCACCAUAAAAAGAAAGUGCUAGACGAUUCUACAGUGUCCAUGAACUUUGAAGAUACUCCACUUACUGAAAACAACUGGAAGCCUCCAUCAUCGCCAUCCUGAACUUCAGCAACCCGACAUCGACACUCACUUCAUCCAGUCGCAGAGCCUGACUGCCUACAGGUCCUGGAGAGGCCUUGCUGCAACAUUCCCUGGGAGCCAUUGUAACAAGAUACACCCGUGAGCCUGGACAGUGGCCACAGAAGGCACGCAAGCUCCCGGGACCAUCUUUGCUGGUUCCACAUUCACACACGCUAGGUCUACAAGAACAGCCCUACUCUGACUUUAACACCAGGAGACAGACAGAAAUAGGAAGGGAUUUUUGGCCACAUUAAAGAGUAUAGAAUUCCCAA